UUUUCUUAGUUCCUGUCAAGACUCCUGUCGAGACAUUUUGGAAAUUACACAUCAGUAAUUGUUAUCUGGGCUGCAAGUCAGGACUGCUUCCCUGGGACGAGACGGACGAUACAUUUCCCUUUUCCUUCACUUGAUCUUGUAUGACAAUAUUGGUUUACGAAAGCAAUAAUAGACUGGUAUAAGUGAUGGUGAGGAUGAACGCAAAGGAUUUUUGCGAUUGUGGUUCCUUGUGUAAGGGUACUUUGUUUGUGCGUUUGUGUGUGCGUGCGUGAGUGUGUGUGUGUGUGUGUGUGUGUGUGUGGUGGUGUGUGUGGGUGUGGUGUGGUGUGUGUGUGUGUGUGUGUGUGUGUGUGUGUGUGUGUGUGUGUGUGUGUGUGUGUGUGUGUGUGUGUGUGUGUGUGUGUGUGUGUGUGUGUGUUGGUGUGGUGUGUGUGUGUGUGUGUGUGUGUGUGUGUGUGUGUGUGUGUGUGUGUGCGCGCGCCAGAGAGCUCCGUAGCACAAAGCCACUGCAAACUGCUGGAGACUCUGAUGCGACACAGUGCAGUGACUGUUGAGCGAGCCAGGACAAGAACCACGUUGAUACUGUGAAACUUCACAAAAAAAGCUUCCAUAAACACAUUUGUAUUUUCAAAAAUCUUUUGGCUGUAAGACUGUUAUUAUACAAAUUUCUGUCAGCAUGCGAGUGAAACAUUUGUACACAUUUUAUUCUAGGGUUUGUCAUGUCAACAAAGCAGACACUUUGCUCAUACAUAGAUUGUCACUUCACGGCACAGACGUGCAUUCAGGUCAAUUACAGUAAAUAUGGGAGCAGCUGCAGUUGAUGCUGUCUGUAUAUCUGACUGUAACAUUGUGUAGGUGUGUGAUUGCAUCAUGAAACAUGGACUCAUGUCUUGGAUUAUGCUGCACUGGUGCAGUGAGCAAAAUCUGUUUACUAUGUAUGUCUUGGCAUGGAUGAGAGAGCAAGUCAUGUGAGGGAUGAUCUCAUAAGUGGAUGGUUGAAGUAAGUGUAGCAUGAAAAAGUUAUUUUGCCUCCAGUAAGAAUGGAGAGAAAAUCUAAGGAUGGGUAAAAGGAAGACUGAAAGGAGCAUACUCGUAGAAAAAAGAAAAAUCUAUGGUGGUUCUGGAAGUGACUCAGGAAAAUGUACUUGACAUACUAACGAAAAUGGACCAAUAUUUAUUUGGAAAAAUUAAUUUAAUGUAUUUUUUAAUAUUGGACAACUUUGUGUACAGAAUUCUUUGCUCUUCAGUGCAAUCUGAUCAUAUCUCCUACAAUUACAAUAGUAUUAAAAACAUGCAAAUACAGACACCAGUUGUGAACCUUGUCAACAGGGGAACAUGUGCCCACUGCUCUGUGGGGAGCACUAAAUAAAGUGUGUGUAUUUAUUUGACUUCCUUGUGGCUGAGGAACGUAAGAGGUGAGGUCUGUCUCCCUCGUACAAGUUCUCCACCCUCUGCAUCUACGUACUUUCAUCUUUUCAGGACAUUCAGAACGAGCAUCGGCCAGGGUUUUUUCACCGUACAUGUACCUACGACAGGUAGAGGAAGAGCGGAACCGUGAAGGUGAACAGAGUGUGCUGUUGAAUCCGGCACUGGAUGCCCAAAGAGUCUUCAAGUGAGAGAUCCAAAAUUGUGUAUUCAAAACUAAAAAAAAUGAAUAAAAAAAUGUUUUAAAGUAA